rnacentral:rRNA from 1 species
AUUGAACGCUGGCGGCAUGCCUAACACAUGCAAGUCGAGCGAGCGGAGGACGGGUGAGUAAUGUAUGGGGAUCUGCCUGAUGGAGGGGGAUACCUACGGGAAACGGUAGAUAAUACCGCAUACCAUCAGAUGAGCCCAUAGGGGAUUAGCUUGUGGGUGGGGUAAAGGCUAACCAGGGCGACGAUCCCUAGCUGGGCUGAGAGGAUGAUACGCCACAGUGGGACGUAGACACGGCCCAGACUCCUACGGUAGGCAGCAGUGGGGAAUAGUGCACAAUGGGGUCAAGCCUGACGCAUCCAUGCCGCGUGUAUGAAGAAGGCCUUCGGGUUGUAAAGUACUUUCAGUAGGGAGGCGUGACCGACAGAAGAAGCACCGGCUAACUCCGUGCCAGCAGCCGCGGUAAUAC